AGCUUACAUGACUAAGGGAGCAACAAUCUAUUGGAGUCUUUGAUUUUAUUUAUAAUUUAAGGAGGUGCUCACUAUGGCAGCAGAUAUCAUUAGCACAAUCGUUGAAUUUGUUAAACUUAUCGCAGAAACAGUAGAAAAAUUUAUCAAAAAAUAAGAUUUGAUAAAAGUAUUUGUUAGAAUCUUUUUCCUUACUUAGACUAAAGUAAAAUCAGGUUUCGAUAUUGAAGCCAUUGUAGCAAUAUUUAAUAAUCGGUAAAUUCACUAAAUUUUUUCAUAAUUAAUAACAUCCCCAAUUAAAUAGAAUAACUGUAAAUAAAACAUUCCCUUAAUAUGAAGAACAGGCGAGUCCCUCCCAAGCUCGUCUGUUC
rnacentral:ncRNA from 1 species